rnacentral:tRNA from 1 species
GCUCUUCCGGGGAGGGACUGACGAGCGUCGGCUCAUGUUUGACGCGGGGAUCCAGCAGAAAGCGGGCCCCGGUUUCGAUGACCGUGGAGAGCU